rnacentral:rRNA from 1 species
GGAAGGNAAGGANGCACUCUGAACAGCCAUGCCGCGGUGCAGGAAGACUGCCCUAUGGGUUGUAAACUGCUUUUAUCUGGGAAUAAACCUAUUUACGUGUAAAUAGCUGAAUGUACCAGANNAAUAAGGAUCGGCUAACUCCGUGCCAGCAGCCGCGGUAAUACGAUACGA